CAUGUAUCCAAACAUAUAUAAUUUUUAUCAGUACGAUGGGGUCUUUUGAUUGGUAUACUUGAUGACAAUAAUGGGGGGUCAUGUAACAUAAAACUGUGUAUGGUAUUUAGACACAUUCACAUCAUGAUAUAAAAUGUUACUUCUUUACAUCAAGUUUAGCAGUACAGCUAAGAUAAUACCUUAGAAAAAUCCAAUAAACAGUCAAAUUCAUACUUUUGAAUGCUAAUAUAAAAUAGGCUAUAUACAUUUUGGUAACUUUUGAAUUUUUGGUCAAUAUGACAUGCCUGAAAGAUAAAAUCAAAAUAUCAGUUUAAAAUCAUAAUUGUUUAUCAUUGAAGACAGUAUUACAUUUAACCCCACAUACUGGGUUAAUUGUAACAUUUCACUCCCUCCACUUUCGGUUGAAUUGUAAAUGACUGGUAUGUUGUAGUUACAGUGUGUAAUGGUAGCUGAGAUAUGUAAGUUGUUUGUAUAACAAUAUUGUUAAUCUAACUCAAUAACAUUUUCAUAAUAUAGCCCAACCCUAAAAGUGUUACUUGGUUCCCCGGUCUCCUUCAAUCAAAUAGGCCUACAGUGUGUAACUCUGUCACUUUCAAUUGAGCUAUUCACUUUCUGUUAAAGAGAUGUUUAAAUGCUCAAUGCAGAUGUUUUUAUAUCAAUAUCAUUUCUGGGUAACAAUUAGGUACCUUACUGUAAUAGUUUUCCGUUAAAAUUGGCAAAAAUCGCUUUUUAGCAAAAAAUCUAAGUUAAGUAAGAAUUUUGCUAGGACUGUCUAGUAGUGGUCUGCGUGGGGAGGGUAAAACUGGAAACUAGCUGUUAUUGGCAGAAAGGUUUGGAACUCUCUUUGUUGUUAUUGUUCUAUUAACCAAUUUACCACAUGGUGAUGUCACCAUGGAAAGCUGAAACUCCUGCCCAUGCAAACCUGGUUAGAUUGUAUUUUCAACCAGCAACUUUCAAGAAAUAACACUGAUCACAUUUUUUCAGACUUUUACAGUGUUUGUUUCAUCAACUGUUGUACAGUAUGGUACAAAACACAAGAAAACAGAAUUUUAGGGACGUACUUGUGGCGUUCUCUUUUUGGGUUAAGUCACUGAAGAGUAGUUAUCAGUUAAAGCUUAAAUUGUUCUGCGUCAGACCUCUGUCUGGACUGGAAAGGUAACUUUAGGCUACAAUGCUUAGAAUCAUAGGACGUCUCAGAGCAAAUUAUUUGCAAACAGUGUCAGUUUCGUUGCAAACAAGUCACACUGGUUUGGUAUGGGGAAAUGUGGUAAGAUGAACGGAUAUCUCUUCCAUGGAAAGUUUAUUUUCUAAAUCUGCUUUUCUUUUGGGACUUUUUGAGAGCGACAUUUUCUCUUGCAAGCGAGCUGAUUGUUUUGAGCUAACAAAAAGUAGAGAACCAAGAAAGACAAAACUCAUUUAUUAGACAUUGUUGAUUUUAUCAAAAUUAUUAUGUUAUUGUCAUUGAAUUGAUAAUGUACUUACCAGAUGCCAGUGUUAAAAAUAGUGUACUGUAGGUCUAUAAAUUGGGCUGCUAUUAUUUUAUGUUCUGGUCCACCGACUAAUAGUUGAGAAAAACUGUGGUAUUAAAAAAAAAAACAUUCUGCUCGUAAUAGUAAGGCCUAGGCCUACAUUGUCACAUAUUUUGAGUUAAUUCUCAUUUUUUUCAUACAUUUUUUUCAAGUACAAGGGGAGGAUCAUGUGGGAAAAAAUGUAAUGUUGGGGAAGAGGGUGUGUUUUUGGGGGGGACAUCUCGAGUUGGAUAAUUUUCUAAUGGUCCCUUACAUUUAUCUUUAAUUUACCGUCUAAGCAUUUGUAUCUGUCAUGUGUGAAUGUCACUGUUAAUUUGUUUACAAUAUACACUACAAUACCAAAAGUAUGUAGACACCUACUUAUCGAACAUCUCAUUCCAAAAUCAUGAGCAUUAAUAUAUGCAUCACUCCAGAGAACUCGUUUCCACUGCUCCAGAGUCCAAUGGCAGCAAGCUUUACAGCCGAUGCUUGGCAUUGUGCAUGGUGAUCUUAGGCUUGUGUGGGACUGCUUGGCCAUGGAAACCCAUUUCAUGAAGCUCCCGACAAACAGUGUUUGUGCUGACGUUGCUUCCAGAGGCAGUUUGGACCUCGGUAGUGAGUGUUGCAACCGAGGAAAGACGUUUGGUCCGCGCUUCAGCACUCGACGGUGCCGUUCUGUGAGCUGGGUCGUUGUUGCUCCUAGACGUUUCCACUUCACAAUAACAGCACUUACAGUUGACCGGGGUAGCUCUAGCAGAGCAGAAAUUUGACUUGUUGGGAAGGUGGUAUCCUAUGACAGUUUCACGUUGAAAGUCUGAGCUCUUCAGUAAGGCCAUUCUACUGUCAAUGUUUGUCUAUGGAAAUUGCAUGGUUGUAUUCUCAAUUUUAUAAACGCCAGCAACAGGUGUGUCUGAAAUAGCUGAAUCCACUCAUUUGAAGGGGUGUCCACAUACUUUUGUAUACAUAUAUCUUAUCUGACUUGCCAUAACUGAAGUUCCUUCUGGAAAAAAAAGUAACUCUAUUCUAUGCACACAAUUCAACCAGAUUCAAGCAUCAAGCGAGUGGAGAGGAAUUCAAGCAGUGCCAUCUACAUACUGGCCGCAUCACCGAUACAACCCCUUGUUUUGCAUGACCCGGAAGAUGUAUAGUAUCUUUGAAUCUUUAUUACCUUUCCUGUUACAAUGUUAAUGGAUAAAUGUGAUAUGAUGACAUGAUUACUUUUAGAGUAGUAUGUGUAUGAAUCCUAUUUUUCAGUUGUAAUGGUAUCUCCCUCUAAAGUGUAUGUACAUUUAUAUUAAGAGGUAUUGUGAGCAUAUGGACACAAGGCGAGACCCAAAUGCAGGCACAGGAAGCAGAUGGUUGAGCUCCAGUAUUUAUUAAUCCAAAACAGUCCAAAACAGUACCAGGCGAAGGACAGUCUUGAGGUCAGGUCAGACAGGGGGUUCAGUAACCAGAUUGGAGUCCAAACAGUAUAAGGGGAUAGGCAGGCUUAAAGACAGAACAGGCAGAGUGGUCAGGCAGGCAGGUUCAGAGUCCAAACAGGCAAGGGUCAAAACCAGGAGGACUAGAACCAAAAGAGACUGGGAAAAAAUAGGAGCAAGAAAAACCGCUGGUUGACUUGGCAAACAAGGCAAGCUGGCACAGAGAGACAGGAAACACAGAUAUAUACACCGGGGAUAAUAAGCAACACCUGGAGGGGGUGGAGACGAUCACAAAGACAAGUGAAACAGAACAGGGUGUGACAGUGAGAGAAUGAAUCUGAUUGAAGGGUUAUCGCGAGAUCACCUUGGAAUUAGAAUACUAGAAUGGACAUGAACUUUCUUAUGGUAGAGUAAAAGGUCAGCCAUUUUGGUAAAGGACUUGCUCAACCACAAUGGUCAGCGAGUGCUGUGAGAAGAUGUUAUUUAAAACAAUGAAUUUAAAACAAUGACUUUGAAAAUUAUAUGCACAGUAAUGUUUAUUAGCUAGCUAGUCUGCCAGUUUUAGUAGAAUGAUUCCAUCAUUUUUUUUCGAAAUGACUGCCAAUAUGUCCGACAUUCCAAACAAACAAUGUAGUCAAUACACAGGCUGAAAUCAGUUGGUGAUAUGACUUAGACAAAAUGUAAAUGCAACAAGUAACUGAUAUUGUAUUAUAUUAUAAGAUUCACAACUUUCCAAGAAAACAAACAUUGAAAACAUUUUUGAGGCAAUUUAUACAGAACAUUUCUAGAAAACCUGUAUUUACAGGUCAAAAGUUUGGACACCUACUCAUUCCAGGAUUGUUAUUUAAUGUUACUAUUUUCUAACACAUGGAAUAAUGUAGUAACCAACAAAGCGUUAAACAAAUUAAAAUAUGUUUUACAUUUUAGAUUAUUCAAAGUAGCCACCCUUUGCCUUGAUGACAGCUUUGCACACUCUUGGCAUUCUCUCAACCAGCUUUAUGAGGUAGUCAUCUGGAAUACAUUUCAAUUAACAGGUGUACCUUGUUAAAAGUUAAUACGUGGAAUUUCUUUCCUUAAUGCUUUUGAGACAAUCGGUUGUGUUGUGACAAGGUAGUGGUGGUAUAGACAAAAUACCAAGUCCAUAUUAUGGCAAGAACAGCUCAAAUAAGCAAAGAGAAACGACAGUCCAUCAUUACUUUAAGAAAUUAAGGUCAGUCAAUCCGGAAAAUUUCAAAAACGUUGAAAGUUUCUUCGAAGUGCAGUUGCAAAAACCGUCAAGCGCUUUGAUGAAACUGGCUCUCAUGAGGACCCCCACAGGAAAGGAAGACCCAGAGUUACCUCUGCUGCAGAGAUUAAGUUCAUUAGAGUUACCAACCUCAGAAAUUGCAGCCCAAAUAAAUUAUUCACGGAGUUCAAGUAACAGACACAUCUCAACAUCAUCUGUUCAGAGGAGACUGUGUGAAUCAGGCCUUCAUGGUCAAAUUGCUGCAAAGUAACCACCACUAAAGAACACCAAUAAUAAGAAGAGACUUGCUUGGGCCAAGAAACACGAGCAAUGGAUAUUAGACCGGUGGAAAUCUGUCAUUUGGUGUGAUCACCAAUAAUAAGAAGAGACUUGCUUGGGCCAAGAAACACGAGCAAUGGAUAUUAGACCGGUGGAAAUCUGUCCUUUGGUCUGAUGAGUCCAAAUUUGAGAUUUUUGGUUCAUUGUAAGACGCAGAGUAGGUGAAUGGAUGGUCUUUGCAUGUGUGGUUCCCACCAUAAAGCAUGGAGGAGGACUGUGAUGGUGUGGGGGUGCUUUGCUGGUGACAGUGAUGUAUGUAGAAUUCAAGGCACACUAGACCAGCAUGGCUACCACAGCAUUCUGCAGCAAUAUGCCAUCCCAUCUGGUUUGCGCUUGGUGGGACUUUCAUUUGUUUUUCAACAGGACAAUGACCCAACACACCUAAAGGUUGUGUAGGGGUUAUUUGACCAAGAAGGAAAUUGAUGGAGUGCUGCAUAAGAUGACCUGGUCUCCAUAAUCACCAGACCUCAAACCAAUUGAGGUUGUUUGGGAUGAGUUCGACCACAGAGUGAAGGAAAAGCAGCCAACAAGUGCCCAGGUGAAGCUGGGUAAGAGAAUGCCAAGGGUGUGCAAAGCUGUCAUCAAUGCAAAAGGUGGCUACUUUGAAGAAUAUCAAAUAUAUUUUGAUUUGAUUAACACUUUUUGGGUUACUACAUGAUAACAUAUGUGUUAUUUCCUAGUUUAUGUCUUCACUAUUAUUCUACAAUGUAGAAAAUAGUACAAAUAAAGAAAAACCCUUGAAUGAGUAGAUGUGUCAACUUUUGACUGGUACUUUUUAAUUAUGAUCAUAUUUAGGUUGACAAUAAUUCUAUUACACAAUUUCUGAUAUAUCACCUGCCUUACUUUUAUUUUCCUGCAUAAGUAAAAGCAGGAAAUGCAUCACCUAUGCCUCUACUGCCAUUCAUUCCAAUUUUAUUUUACUAUAAUGACUGCCAUUAUCAUCCCAUUCUUGAACUUUGAGGGUUUAUUACAUACCCGCUCAAGAAAUGUCAUAGGACCUCUAUGUAUUAAUAAAUCCAUCCACUCCACCUGUUGUAUGUCUUCUAGAUAAUGCACAAUCAUCACGAAAUGUACUAAACUUCAAAAGGUAUUUAUAAUAGAAUGUGAUUGAUUGUGAUAGACUGUCUACAAUGUACAGUGUUGUGAUGAUAAAUCAAAAAAUAAAC
ensembl:lncRNA